UCAAAGGGCACAUCAUUGACUUCUCGGAAUUGGUUGUGUUUCUUUCACUUUUACUCCUGUCUUUACAGGAAGGAGCAGUUCUCAGCAGAUUACCGUAUCACGAGACCUAGUUCUGACAUUUACAGCAGUGCCCUAUAUCUCACCUUACUGUAAAAAUCUCAAACAAAAGACAAUGGAUACAAGUGGAAACAGUAAAGUACUGCACCAAGUAUCCAAACGCCAGCAAUCACAACACUGUAAACUCAUAAAGACUUCCUCUGGUGUCUUUAGUCGCUGACAACAAACCUACCAUCAAGACCACCUCGAAGAACACUGACAAUGGUGAUCUAAAGUGCAGAAACCUUGACCAAGUUCCCUAAUGGCUUGAAGUCUAGCUGGUCAGCAACCCAAACCGGCUCAGACCAGAGAAUCCAGUCCCUGGCAUUCUGCUCAUGGCUGGUUCUGCCCACUCCUCAGCAGUGGGAGGUACACAAGAGAAACUGUUUGUGCCGCUAACAAGGGGAGGUAAAGAGACAUGAAGGGACUCAUUGCAGCUGCCACAGGUCACCUUUCACGUUCACCUCUACUAUUCAACUGCCAGCACGCUCCAGGUGGACUAUUCAAUGCGUCUUUGCAAGCUGUGGCCUAAUAAGUAAGAGCAAAACACAUCAGAAUGAAUUGAAACAGUUGUUCUUAUGCUGUAAAACACUGUGCAUUAUAUAAACACUUUAGAUGCAAAUGAUAAGAUGUCAACAAAUAACACGGAGAACAUGGUGUAAAAUCUUAUAAUUUCCUCAAGAGAUUAUGAGUAAACCACCAAAACAGUUUGUUUUUGGUUUGCUAGACAAUUCCUUUCCACAAAAUGUGGAUAUUAUUUACUGGUUGCAUGGAAAUGCUAAGUAUGCAAAAAAAUAGCUAUAUGUGCCAAAAAAAAAAAGUGCAAAAUAUCCUAGAAAGUUUAGGUGCAUGUUAUUGCUAAUAGAAAUGAAUAGGCUAAUUCACAUAAGUGUCGUUCUCAUUCUAGAAAGCAUUUUUCUAGGCAAAAAUUCGGAAAUGAGUCAAGCUCAACAAUAUUUUGAAUGUUUUCCCCAAAGAGAAAGGUUGUCAGUUUGAAAUGCUAAAAUCUAAACGCUAAAAGGUAAUUUUGUCUGCUUUGAAAAGUGCUUCAUGGAUAAUCUCAAAACUACCAGACUUUGAUGAUGGACUCCUAGUUGUUCAUUAUUUUAUUCAAUACUGUAUCGCUAAUAUCGCUAUUCGCUAGCUAUUUAAAGUGAUCUUGGUGGGUUUUUUUUGUCAAAUCUCAUGCAGCAGGAGUCAAUAUAACAUUACAAUAGUAAUGUUUUUAAUUUAGACUUUUUUAGAUACAAAAAGUUGACUUUUUGAUGUAUGGCUUGUUUAAUGAUAUAUGAUAAUUGUGCAGUUAGCUAGCCUGAUUAUGUUUGAAUAAGAGAAAAAUCCACAGCAUGAUUACUGCAGUGACUCUGAUGCCCUUCCAAGAUUUUUUCUCCCAGUCAAUGAAUAAAAUGACUCAGAAUAAUCUGUUUGCAGCAGUAAAUGACUUUGUCAAGCAGAAGGAAGGGAAGACUCUUUAAGGAGUAAUUGUAGGUUUCCUAAAGAUUGCCUUGAAUAUAAUUGGCAAUGCAGUUUUUCAGAAAAUUGCACUGGGUGGACCAGACAUGAAGAAGAAUAAACAAAAUACUUA